UACGUAGGCAGCAAGCGUUGUUCGGAGUUACUGGGCGUAAAGGGUGUGUAGGCGGUUCUCUAAGUCUGGUGUGAAAUCUCCCGCUCAACUGGGAGGGUGCGCCGGAAACUGGAGAGCUAGAGUACUGGAUGGGAGAGUGGAAUUCCUGGUGUAGCGGUGAAAUGCGUAGAUAUCAGGAGGAACACCUGUGGUGUAGACGGCUCUCUGGACAGUAACUGACGCUGAGACACGAAAGCGUGGGUAGCAAACAGG
rnacentral:rRNA from 1 species